AUUAUUUGACCAGCAGCAUCCAUGAUCCUUGACUCCACUAGGAGGUUCUCCUUGGCUCCUAUCACUAGUGCCUUCUUUGAUUGGCUCUUUGGGGUCUUCUUUCCCACCAUCUGGGCAGUCAACACAGUGUGUCUCUCUCAGGUGCAUGGCUGUGCCCUCCCGAGCCUCACAGGUAGCCUGUGUCUGCAGGUAUCACUGGGUCUCGUGCUUUCUACUCUGUCUGCCUGGUCAGUUCCAUGAGCCAUCAGCCACAUGCCCAGCUCCAUCCACGUUCUGUCCCAUUUCACCAAACUGGAGCUUAUGGGAUUUACUGAGGUCACAUGAUCUGGUGGUGUGGCAACAGCACAAUCAUCUGCUGUUUGGCCAGGGGACAUCCUCUAUCGUUCUAUCUCACACAUGUACUGGGGAUGUUCUUGAUGUAUACACAUCCAGCCUGACUGCUUGGUGUUUCUGAAGACCAUAGGGGCCAUCAUAUACCUUUCAGUAUGUCUCUUUUCUGUCUUAAUAGAAAUUAAUUUGCUUCAUUCCUUUCAAUUAAGAACCCUGGUUGAUACAAUCAGAAUCAAAUGUCAGUUUGAAUGUAACUAGAAAAUAUUAUGGAAAGUAAGAGCAGUAAUUAUACUAAUGGAGGAGGAGAGAAACAUUGAAAUAUUUAGCAAAC
rnacentral:lncRNA from 1 species